rnacentral:rRNA from 1 species
UACGGAGGGUGCAAGCGUUAUCCGGAUUCACUGGGUUUAAAGGGUGCGUAGGCGGACAGGUAAGUCAGUGGUGAAAUCUCUGGGCUUAACUCAGGAACUGCCGUUGAUACUAUUUGUCUUGAAUAUCUUGGAGGUAAGCGGAAUAUGUCAUGUAGCGGUGAAAUGCUUAGAUAUGACAUAGAACACCGAUAGCGAAGGCAGCUUACUACAGGAAGAUUGACGCUGAGACGCGAAAGCGUGGGGAGCGAACAGG